UACAGAGGGCUCAAGCGUUGUUCGGAUUUAUUGGGCGUAAAGGGCGCGUAGGCGGCCCGGUAAGUCGGGUGUGAAAUCUUGGAGCUUAACUCCGAAACUGCAUUUGAUACUGCGGUGCUUGAGGACUGGAGAGGAGACUGGAAUUUACGGUGUAGCGGUGAAAUGCGUAGAUAUCGUAAGGAACACCAGUGGCGAAGGCGGGUCUCUGGACAGUUACUGACGCUGAGACGCGAAGGCCAGGGGAGCAAACAGG
rnacentral:rRNA from 1 species